ensembl:lincRNA
GUUGAUCGAAGCUGGCAGAGGAUAGAAGAGCUCUGUGGCCGAGUGAGCUGUUUCUGGAGCCAGAUGCGUCUUUGGCGGAGCCUGAGGUCCCCUGCUACUACUGGGGUGCAGAUGCUCAAAUCUUUGUUUUACAUCCUGAUUCUCCAAUUUGCCAAAUACUAUCACCUUACUCUGCUGUCUUUGUUAGGAACGUUGCUAACACAAUCUGCCUAACUGGCACCCUUUCCUGGUGUGGGAGAAGCACAGUUGACAGCCAGUGUUUUGGUGGCAAGAGGCCAAGACGAAUUGACAGAACUUCCAAAACACUUUGCAAAGACAGCGAGUGCACAAAGCUGCAGCUCACAGCCUUGUCCCGUGGCCGGGAGACAGGAUGCAUGCUGAGCUGCUGGGAGGAGGGACAGGAGGAAAAGUGCCUGCAGCUGCAGGAGCACCCACUUGAGAUGCCUCCUGUGUUCAAUCAAGUUCAGAGUAAUUGCUUCCUCACUCCUCCUGGCAAAACUGUUCAACUUGGCACAGUGACAGCUCCUUGUAGAGUUUUUCCAGCUGAUGUCAUUCUUCCUAAGGUCUACUAGGGUCCCAGCUAACACGACUGUGUUGCACUGGCAUCCACACCUCCACCAGGAGCAAUUCAAAGGCCUAUUUUUGUGAAUAUGUGGCAGAGAUCCCAGGCUCCAUGGAGGCCUUUUGCACUGGGGACAUGGUGGAAAAUUAAGCCCCACAGGUAACUACCUACCUGCACGGCAUGAGAGCAGCUGAUUAGAGGACUGAAUGGGCAGAUCCGUGGAAGGGAUUGAGUGAACACUAACAUCGAGCAUUCUUAUAAGCUAAGUGAGACUGCAAGAGUCAGGGGCCACUGUGCACAAUUGUGUGAGCUGUGUUUUGCAGCAGGUGUCUGGGGAGCUCAAAUCCACCCACAAAGGGAAGCCUUUGUGACUUGUACAAAGGGCCAUAAGUGGUGGCUCAAACCUGAGGCUCUACCGUGCAGUGAGUGUGGGGAUGUGGAGAUGGGUACACAGGAAUUGACAAUCUAAAGAGGGGAAGAGACUAACAUCCAGCAGCACGUUAACUGUGAAAGCAAACUAAAUAUGGCCUGAGCAGGACUCCGUACUUCUAUAUUUGAGUCCUCGCGGAUGAGCUGUAACCUAGCUUAAUAGGCAGACAAAAUUGCAAACAUAACCUGGUAGUAUGCACCUCCAACAGUAGCUAAGUCUUGGCCAACCCCAGCACCCAUACUCAACCAAGCAUACACUGCUGAGUGUUCAAACUGUGUUCAAAUAAGGCAUACGCCGAGCUGUAACCAAUCCAGCUGUUUUAUACUUCACUUCUAAUUUCUGUACAUCAUCCCCCCCCCACCUUUUUUUGUCUAUAAAUCUUCUCCACCUGGCUGUGCUGGAGUCUCUGUGAACCUGCUGUGAUUCUGCGGGCUGCCCAAUUCUCAAAUCGAUCAUUGCUCAAUUAAACUUUAAAUUUCAUUCAGCUGAAGUUUCUCUUUCAUCAACUGCUAUAGUAUUUCAGUUUAGUUUCUCUCUCUUUUCUUGAAACUAAUAUGUACUUAGAGUCUAGUAUGGCAAAUGCCAUGGUGGGCAUUUUACUUAUAUAAUCUGAAAACUGCUUAUGAGCUCCCUGCAAGACAGAAGAUAGCAUCGGGCCCACCGUGUGGAGGGGGAGACGGAGCCACGGAUCCCUGACCAGAGGUAGGUGCUCAAGCAGCAG